AGCGAACGCUGGCGGCAGGCCUAACACAUGCAAGUCGAGCGGCCCUUCGGGGCAGCGGCGGACGGGUGAGUAACGCGUGGGAACGUGCCCUUUGGUACGGAACAACUGAGGGAAACUUCAGCUAAUACCGUAUGUGCCCUACGGGGGAAAGAUUUAUCGCCAUUGGAGCGGCCCGCGUUAGAUUAGCUAGUUGGUAGGGUAAUGGCCUACCAAGGCGACGAUCUAUAGCUGGUCUGAGAGGAUGAUCAGCCACACUGGGACUGAGACACGGCCCAGACUCCUACGGGAGGCAGCAGUGGGGAAUCUUGCGCAAUGGGCGAAAGCCUGACGCAGCCAUGCCGCGUGAAUGAUGAAGGUCUUAGGAUUGUAAAAUUCUUUCACCGGGGACGAUAAUGACGGUACCCGGAGAAGAAGCCCCGGCUAACUUCGUGCCAGCAGCCGCCGUAAGAC
rnacentral:rRNA from 1 species